CUAUUAUCUAUUAGCUUGAAAUCCAUGUAAAAUUUAAACUCUAGGUAUUUAGUAACGAGACGAAUGCUUAAGAUUGGUCCCAUCGUUAAAGAGAAAAUAAUUAAAAACCACGGAUUAAAAUGUAUAACAGUAUCUCCAUUAGUAUUUUGGUCCAAAGUGACCUGGCAUACGUAUUAUCAAAGUAAAUUAAAACAAAGAAGUCAACAGCUAAAAAGGAUAAUACUAAUAUGAGUGUAACGAGGAUUGCAGAAGUAAGAAAACCGAGGCAGACACACUACAUUUAAAAACAGUGCUUGGCUAUGAUUUUUGAAAAAAUGCUGAUUUUAAACUUUGGCAAAACACAUUUUUAAAAAAAGAGCCGAAAUGAAAUUAAAAUAGCAUCAUCUUCGCAAUAAUUCACAUGUUAUCGAGAAAAAAACUUAAUAACAACAUCAAUAAUAAUCAGAAGAAGAAAAAGAAGAAUAAAAAGAAAAAACUACAGAUAAAAAGGGAGCAAUAAAUUAUAAGCAGAAGAAGAAACAGGCAAUACAAGAAAAACAUUCCUCAGACCAUUACACAGAAAACUUAAAAGUAAACAACACGAAUCCCAGCAUAACCUGUUGGUGAAAUAAUAUACAAAUGUACUUCGGUUCACCGACUUAUUUACACUUCUUGCACCCGGAAAGUAGAUGGGAAUUGGGCAAAAUACAGCCAAUCAGAAAUGACUUCCUCGUAGUAUUUAUAGUCAGUUUCAUUGUUUUAUUCCAAAGAUAGUAACUAGUUCUUGUAGAUCGGUGCCUCCUCGUUCAAAGCCUUGCACACGGACAAAGGCAGUUGAUAUUGGAAUCGAUAGGUUACAGGCAGCUGACGAAGAGACUUAAGAUUGUGUGUCAUGUGGUUGUACUUCUUCUUCCUUGUAAUGACUCUGGCUGCUGUGUUUUGGACUCGCUGUAAUCUAAAUAAUUGUAGCUACGAGUCCAUACAGCAAUACGUUACCAUAGUCCAAAGUAGAAGUCACUAGAAAGAAUAUUAUCGUUUUGCAUAGUUCUUUAGUUAUAAAUGGACGAAUUAGUCCAAUGUUUCAGAUUUGAUUGAAACAGGAUUUCAAAAUAGCACUAAUUUGCAUGUCCAUUGCCAAAGUUUUAUCGAAAUAAAUGCCUAUGUUUUUCAAGCACACCACUGACAAUGAUUCCACCAAAUUUGAGGUGAAAGUCUGAAAGGUCCUUCGCUUGGUUUUUGAGGCAAAUACUUAAGUUCGCGGGACCGAUUUUUGAGGAACACCAUAUUGGAGAUGAAUUUCAUUCGGAAGAACAGAACCAACAGCGAUGCGUUGAAUCUUCUUUUGAGAUACAAUUUCACCCAACUAAGUGCUGUACCGGUUAUCCAACAAGAGUGUUCCAACCGCUUCACCAGAAUAGAAUGAUCGAUCAAAUCGGAAGUUCCAGUAGAUCUAGCAACAGUUGUUGUCAAGAGCAAGAGUGAUGUCAUGAUGAACACGGAGUAAUAAUAUCAGUCGAAUGAUUCUCACGGUAGGCUGAUUGUAGGCUGUCGUGAAGAUAGUUCGACGUAUGAUUGUUUUUAAGGCGAGUCUAAUCGACCUUUUCAAGCACUUUGGAUACAAACGGAAGAUUAGAGACUGGUCAAUUUGAUAGACAACAUGUUAUUAUAUGUACAGCAUGAUUUCAUUUAAGAAAAUCCCGCGUCUUAUUUUUAAGGGGAUUAAUAGUUAUUCUAUUAUUUACAUUCGGCAACACGACUAAAAUAUUUCAUUAUUUUCCUCUCAGUAUGGGAAUUCUAAGGACAUAUUAACUUUCUGCAAUGCACUAGAUCUUGUUUACAUCGGCUUAUAUUUAGUGCAAGUUUGUAUGAUUGUAUCAGUAGAUCUAGUUAUUGAUUACUGCAAGCAAUCUUUCAUGUCAAUAUUGUUCUGGUAUUUGUCGUAUGCAAUACUGAAGUUUAUAUUAAAUUGUAUUUCUUGAAUGAUUUCUAUCUCUUUUUCUUAUUUUAUCCCACUAAUCGAAAUGAAAGGAAGAGACUUAGUACUUCAAUAAUAAGUAAAACCCACAAUAUGAUAAUGUACUUGUCUGCAAACAGGGACAUCUUCAACUCAAGUAUAGAAGAUGCAGUUUUGAGUGUUCUGUUUAGGCUUUUGUCCCAAACGUUGAAGUAUUUGGUCUCUCAAACGUAUGUCCUCGUGUAUUCCUGGUUCUGAUGACUAUUACUAGAAUCUGGUAUCAUGGGUUUAUGCUAUUACUAAAAACUUAGAAGUUGACAUAAUUGGUUAAAUGAAUAAAUAUCAAGGAAUAAGC